rnacentral:rRNA from 1 species
AACGUAGGUACCGAGCGUUAUCCGGAUUUACUGGGCGUAAAGCGCGUUCAGGCGGUUUGGCAAGUCGGGCAUGAAAUCUCUCGGCUCAACCGGGAGAGGUUGUCCGAUACUUCCAGACUUGAGGGCAGUAGAGGGUGGUGGAAUUCCGGGUGUAGUGGUGAAAUGCGUAGAUAUCCGGAGGAACACCAGUGGCGAAAGCGGCCACCUGGACUGCGCCUGACGCUGACACGCGAAAGCUAGGGGAGCGAAGUGGG